rnacentral:hammerhead_ribozyme from 1 species
UGCUGAGGAGUCCCACAAUAGGACGAAACAGCUGUCCA